ACAUUUGGAAACAAGUGCUAAUACCGCAUAAUUAGUUGGAACCGCAUGGUUCCAACUUGAAAGAUGGCUCUGCUAUCACUUUGGGAUGGACCCGCGCCGUAUUAGUUAGUUGGUGAGAUAAAAGCCCACCAAGACGAUGAUACGUAGCCGACCUGAGAGGGUAAUCGGCCACAUUGGGACUGAGACACGGCCCAGACUCCUACGGGAGGCAGCAGUAGGGAAUCUUCCACAAUGGACGAAAGUCUGAUGGAGCAACGCCGCGUGAGUGAUGAAGGUUUUCGGAUCGUAAAACUCUGUUGUUAAAGAAGAACAAGUGUUAGAGUAACUGUUAACACUUUGACGGUAUUUAACCAGAAAGCCACGGCUAACUACGUGCCAGCAGCCGCGGUAAUACGUAGGUGGCAAGCGUUGUCCGGAUUUAUUGGGCGUAAAGCGAGCGCAGGCGGUUUUGUAAGUCUGCUGUGAAAGCCCUCAGCUCAACUGAGGAAGUGCAGUGGAAACUACAAAACUUGAGUACAGAAGAGGAAAGUGGAACUCCAUGUGUAGCGGUGAAAUGCGUAGAUAUAUGGAAGAACACCAGUGGCGAAGGCGGCUUUCUGGUCUGUUACUGACGCUGAGGCUCGAAAGCAUGGGUAGCGAACAGGAUUAGAUACCCUGGUAGUCCAUGCCGUAAACGAUGAAUACUAGGUGUUGGAGGGUUUCCGCCCUUCAGUGCCGCAGCUAACGCAUUAAGUAUUCCGCCUGGGGAGUACGACCGCAAGGUUGAAACUCAAAGGAAUUGACGGGGGCCCGCACAAGUGGUGGAGCAUGUGGUUUAAUUCGAUGCUACGCGAAGAACCUUACCAGCUCUUGACAUCUUCUGCCAACCCAAGAGAUUGGGCGUUCCCUUCGGGGACAGAAUGACAGGUGGUGCAUGGUUGUCGUCAGCUCGUGUCGUGAGAUGUUGGGUUAAGUCCCGCAACGAGCGCAACCCUUAUUAUUAGUUGCCAGCAUUUAGUUGGGCACUCUAGUGAGACUGCCGGUGAUAAACCGGAGGAAGGUGGGGACGACGUCAAAUCAUCAUGCCCCUUAUGAGCUGGGCUACACACGUGCUACAAUGGAUGGUACAACGAGUCGCGAAACCGCGAGGUCAAGCUAAUCUCUUAAAGCCAUUCUCAGUUCGGAUUGCAGGCUGCAACUCGCCUGCAUGAAGUUGGAAUCACUAGUAAUCGUGGAUCAGCAUGCCACGGUGAAUACGUUCCCGGGCCUUGUACACACCGCCCGUCACACCAUGAGAGUUUGUAACACCCAAAGUC
rnacentral:rRNA from 1 species